rnacentral:lncRNA from 1 species
GGUCACAUAUUGAAUAGUGAGCUCAAAGAUGACCAUAAAUAAACAAUGUGUAAAAAGAAAAUGUACGAAAUUUCAAUUUUGUUCCUUUAUUAAUAUUCUUGAUUUUAUUUACAAACUAUAGUAGUGACUAGUGCACUCAAAGAUAACCAUACAUAAACCAUGUGUAAAAAGAAAAUGUACACAUAGAAAUUUCAACCAAAAAAAAUCUCCUUUAUUAAUAGAAAAAAAAAGCAUUCGAUCGAGAUAUUCCCGUUCUAUGUGUGUGCAAAGUUUCAACGUAGAGGACAGUACGCAAGUACGUAAUUUGAAAAUUACCCGUUAUUUUUUUUCCCCACUUACUGUGCGCAUCGGACUUUUGCUGAUUUUCCUUCAUCAAACGUCUCCAAAUCACACCAAAAUGUCUUCCAGCAAUUAUUCUAGCGAUGAAAUUUCAUCAAGAGAUAGUGACUCCUCAUACUCCGAUGCCUCCUUAUCCCAUUUUAGUGAUUCUUCCCAAGAAAAUGAGCCCGACAAAUGUUCAAAAUAUUACUAGUCCCACUCGUAGAGAAAUGAGUUUGUUGUCGAAUGACGGAACAUCGACGAGCGGAACUGGCCCCAGAAAACAGCUGAAAAGGAAUCAGAAAACACAACCUGCUAAAGCACCACGCAAGAAGAAGAGCAAGUCUUCCAAGUCCGAGAGUGCAUGUGUCUGCGAGAUCCAUUGAAACUAAUCAAGCUACAAUGUACAUGUAAAGUACAACCACCAUUCGAUGCCUGUGAACAGCAUGACCAACAUCUGUAUCCUUUACAUUAGUAUUUGUUUCCAUUUUAUUAUGUAAUUAUUAUGUCUAAUCAUUGAGAUUCAUAGGCAAGUACAACAUGUAUGUGUACACAAUGAGUGCCUGCAUAUUGUGAAGAUAAAGGACCAUAAGACCAUUACUUAUGAUACAUGGUAAUGAUGGUAGGCCUAUACUUUGUAAAACUAUUUGAAAAUAGUAGCAUGUAAGUCUGUCAUUUUCUUGUUUAUAUAUAUCUCAAUGACAUGACAUGUCAUUGAUUUUGUAGUAAGUGUUUCUAGAUUAUGAUGAUUGUAUUAAGAUUUUGACAGUUCAAUUGAGAUUGAGAAAAUUAUGUAACAUGUCAACUGUACUAUAGAGCAUGCAUGCAUUGUUGAAAAAUCUGUUUUAUGAUUUAUUUUAUUUUGUUAUCUUUGUAAAUAACGAGAAAAAAAAAAUUAUUUGUCAUGAUUUUCUUGAGGUUUGAAAAUGUGAUUACAUUAUUAAGAGCACUUUGCAAUUAAAUUGUAAUAAAAGAGACAGAAAACAACACUCUCAUGUCCAGAAUACUGCUUUAUUUGGUUACUAGUGAGGGAGAGAGCUUGUGAUCGCCUGGCAUAUCCACAUCGGCUCAGUAAUAGUCCUGAAACUCACCUGAAUACUUUAUUUGAACAAAAAUAGAAAGCUACAUUCUAGGUGGAUGAUAUUUUUUUAAGGCGGAGGCAUAUAGGAGACGCAGUCGCAUUUGUCUUGUUUUUUUUUUAGAGUAUAAUCAUAGCAAACCAUGAACAACUCUAUUACUACAACAUGUACACUACAGUACUUAACCAAAGAUUGUAAAUAUCAGUUAAGUUCUUUUAUUUAUUUGCUUAUAUGAACACACAUACUAUACUAAACUCAUGUCAUUGUGUUUACCUCUCGAAAAUAAAGUACAUGUAUUUUAUUUGACACAUUCCCUUUUAUUAUUUUUGUUUGUUACAGUCCACUGCCAUUAUAACGAGGUGCUUGGAACCAAGCCAAUUUCCUUGUUAAAAUGAAAUCAUGUUAUACUCAAGUUACUGAACACAUUGGUUUGUUUAAAAUUGGGACUGAUGAGAAUUGCCUGAUAAUAAAAUCUUGGUGUAUCCAUGUUCGUUAUAAUAGGAGUGGACUGUAUAACAUUUUCCAUAUACCCAUUGACUAUUU